rnacentral:snoRNA from 1 species
UUGAAUUAAAAGAGAAAAUCCUCCUCCAUGUGGGGGCUGGUGUGCCAUGGCUGCAAACAGCAAGCCUCCUCGGUGGUGUACUCUGCCUGUUGGCUGCCUUAACACACCUUGGAGACAACC